rnacentral:lncRNA from 1 species
UCGGUGGCUGUUACUGCUGGGUUUGUUGCUGUUGGAGGUUUUUGACUGUCUCUGUGAGGACAUUCAUCUGCUGUAAGAGUGCAGCGAUCUGGACAUCCGUGGUGAUCACAGGUCUUGAAGAACUAGGCUCUGCUACUGGAGGAGGGGGAGAAACCUCUUUCUGAUGGGAAGAGUGUCUCACCGAUCUGAUUGCAGUAGAAUACUGGGCUCUGAUUUUCGUCAUAGUAAAUAUGAUUGCUGCUCCCCUUCCUGAUGCGUCAAUCUAUUGCGGUCAACUCUCCGUCGCUUGUCAUCGAAAAUGAACACCUGCAAAACAGCAUCCACACAGAUCGAAUUUGUGUCCGACGGGGACCCUUCGAUGUCUAA